GCCUGGCUGGCUCAGCCGGUACAGCAUGGGACCCAUGAUCUCGGGGUCGUGAGUUCAAGCCCCACGUUGGGCA